AGGCUGUGGGUUGACCUUUGAGAAUGUAACUUCCCCUAAUGAUAUUAGCUUCUCUGUCAUGUGCAAACUGUAGCUGGUCUUGUCAAGUAAAGAUUUUUACCAUAGACUGUAUAUACUAUCGACAACUUGAUUCUGCCUCCCGUCAGUAUACGGAUUUAAAGCCAAAAAGCUCUCGGUAUUUCCGUGAUUUUUCUUCAUUUCCUGAAAUCAGCAUUUUACAGUAGCAUUGUACACAAUCGGCGGGAGAGUCACUGAGAGUCGCUGUGAUGACGCCCUGCUCAAACAGCGUAUCCCCCGGGUAAGCUACGCAAUCUUUGUACGUCCAUAGACUGUAUCAAGUGUCAAUCAUAGAAAACAUGAACCUCUUAAUAACUUUUAAAAACGGAGCUGCACAGAAAAGGGGGAAUUGAGCACAAACCAGUCUCACAGUAACUACAUGUCGAGGCAGAUGCUGUCCAUUCUAUAUACAGUCUAUGGUUUUUACACCUCUGUUUGAAAUAAACUUCUGGGAGUUAGUUUGCUUUUGAAGCAUAUUUUUAAACCAUUAACUUCAUGAAAACUCUACAUACACACUCACACAUAAGCAUAUGUGUGAGUGUGUACAUCCUUGGCACACUAACAAAAAUGCAAAGGUCACACACAGACCGGAUGGAAGAGGAACAAACAAAAACACAGGUCUAUAUAUGGACACAUAAUGAAACAUGCUGUACAUGAACACACACACACACACACAGACAUGUGUACAGGGUUCAUGAUGCUAUAGACACUCCCACACAGACUUCCUGGGUGGCAGACGGAGGGUUCAUUGAGGGCAAAGCUCUGGACAGUUAACUGCACACUGGAGGAUUUUCAAAUCCUACCUGAUUUAAGAACGUGGGAAACCACAUAUAUUAAAGGUUAUCCAGUAUUUUCAAUAUUUUGAUCAGAAGAGGUCACACACCAGAAGAACCAGCCAAGAUCAAGGACCACACACUUGGAAUCCAUACUAAACAGGACCAACAGAGGGGGGAUGCCAGGGACUCUGGACUUAAGAGCAACUAGUCUGAUCAAACUGGACUGAUUUAGGGGGCAAAAGCACGCCCAGAACACCAUGCUCAACAGCCAACCAGAACACCAAAGUAAGAAGGACAAACUGGAGAUGGGCUGAAAAGUUGAGUCUUAACUUCACAGUGUUUAAGUGUCAGUCAGUAAAGAAUACAAGAGUCCUGAUUAUCAGUUUGACUUACUUACAUUGAGAAGAACUAAAAAACUAUCCACUGUGUGUGCCCUUUUGGAUGUGUACAAACCCUUAUUGACUCUAGAUUCUGACUCAUCGUAUUGUUUUCGACGAUGUGAGUGUGUAAAACGAAAGAAAACAGGCAGCCACAAUUCGAGCAACGGCAAGGUGAUCAGAUGCAGAGAGAGACAGCCAGUGAGGAGUGAGGAGAACCUAAAAAUGAGGACUAUACAAGGCUAGGAGGUAGCUCAUCAUAUAAUGAGGACCCCACACAGGCAAAGACCUGCAACAGGAAGAAGACCCAGCAAAGAAGAAAACCUGGUUCUGUUAAGGGGUUGUCAUUAUUAACACACAAAGCUACUUGUGUACACCAAUUUAUUUGGUACAGAUUACAGUAUUUUUUCAUGUUACAAUAAAUGCCACAAUAAUUGUUCCUUUUUUAUAUCGUUCUGCAUAAAUUUUGCUCAAAUAAGGAGUGACAGCAGCAGACCCACACCUGGCCAGUUACUCCCUGGUGUUGCUCUGUUAUGAAAUGCUGUCCAGGGUUGCAGAGGGUUGGUCAGCAGUUACAGACAGGCUGGGACUUAUAAAACAGCAGCUCAGAGGAGCUGUAAAAGACCCAUUUAGCUGUCAAAUAAUCACUGCUUUAUAGAGUGUAGUGCAAGUGCGUCUGAUGCUGUCUUUCACUGGCCAUAUGAUGACUAUUGUUUUUUUUCUAUAAUGGAUAGCUAACUAAAGUAUAUAAUCCAUAACUUCAUGGAACAGUUACUGAAAAAUCCAUAAUGAAUCAAUAAGGUUCAUAAAUCCUUUGCUGCACUCAUGUUUGAGUUGAAAAACUGUGAAUAAGACGUCAUUAAUCCCAUAAAACAGGAGUAUAACAGUGUAGUCAGCGUGCCUUUCUCUAUAGUGAUGUAGUUUAAUUAUAUUGUAUCACAUUUACCCAUAAUUCCUGUUUAAUCCCAUGUUCUCAUUACCACCUACCUGACGUGACUGACAGGGUAACCCCCCAAAACCCAGCGGUCAACUUCAGCAACACGUGUUCCCCCUCCUCUGAAGAGGCCCCCCCCCCAACCCUAACCAUGACCUCACAUACCGCCUCCUCACCCCUCCCCAGCACCACCAUCAGAGCCUCUCAUUGAGAAUCAGUCGCUGUGAAAGAAGAUUGGAGACAGAAAUGGCGGGAAACCUAAAGAGAGAGGGGGGGGGGUUGGCGAUGGCAGCGAUGGGGAGAGAAGAAAUAGAUGGGGGAGUGACACUGACAGAUGGAGAGAGGCCAAUGUGAAGGAGACAUUGAGACUGAAAGAUAUAAAAAAAGAGAGAGAAAAGAAGGAAAGAGCUGAGAAGGAGCAGAAGAAAGAGAGGAGGAGAUAUGAAGAAAGAGACUGGAGAGAGACCACACUCAAAGACAGCAGGUGGACUUCAAACCAGCCAAAAGCCAUGUGGCAGAUAUACACUGCUGGAAGAUGGGUGUACAUGAACUCAUUUCACCCCAGUACAGAGUAAAUUAACAGCUUACUUGCCAGAGCUUCUUUAAAACACUAGUGAUUGUAGAAAGAUCCAAAGUUUGUUGUGUGUUCUGUCUUAAAAUGGACAGAAAAUGUUCAAAUCUGUGUUCUCUCAUGUCACACAGAAACACAAUUUACACAUCAGGGCAAGGUGUGCACAGAAAUACAGGACAUACAGGCCAUACUGUGAUUAAGUUAAAGGAGAGUUCACAAUCACAUAGUGUGGUAAAAAAAAAAACGGUA